rnacentral:lncRNA from 1 species
CUCAGUUACAGUUUCAACACAAAGUCCAGCAGUCCUCAACAUGAAGCCUGAGACUCAGGAGAGAGGCCUUGGCCAAGGUCACGCAGCCCCUGCGGCAGUCACCCCACGUGUACAGGCCUUCGUACUAGCAAAGCAAUUUCUAGUCUGUUGCCUCGUGGGACCCUUGCAGGAGUCCCUGGAGGGUAAACAGAAGAUCAUUUAGCACCUUCUGUUGGAGAAGAAAGCAGGACUUGAGGUACAGUGGCUUUCCCAAGGCCACACAAGGAGUAUGUGGCAGAGGCAGAAUGUGGACCUGAGGGUCCUGACUCUCAACUCAGAUUCCGCAACCCCAGGAAUCAAUAUUGAUAGUGUAUAUUAGGCAG